CCUCUAUCACCAUGGAGACGAGCAGCAGCAGGACCCCAGCCUGUAUCUCUGAGCGAUACGGUCCUGCAGCGGCCUCUAGCGCCUGGGAGGGGAAUGGGGGAGAAGGAAACGCAGCCAAGGCCCAUCAUGUCCUCUUUGCCUCCUCAGUGCAUGCCAGCUCCCACAUGGCUAUUUGGUAUUGUGAAUGAUAAGGCCCAGCAGCCACGGGGCGAAGGACAUGAUCUUAAACACCCACAUCCUGCUCUGAGUAACCUCAAACAAUCCCAUGGCACAUUCUCUGGGAGCACCACUCAGAGCAUGUCCCCACUCCAGCAGCAGGUACAGAGAGACAAGAUCAUACAAUCAGCCAAUGGCAGAGUUGGGAAGAGAGCACACGUGACUAAGAUGCUCUAGGGACUUUGGGGAUGAAAACUGCUAUACUAAUAAGUGCUAUGUGGUUCCAGAUAUCUGCCUCAAACCUCACAUAUAUUAGGCUCUAAUCCUGAACUGAGAACUGCACAGCAGGUGGA
rnacentral:lncRNA from 1 species